rnacentral:rRNA from 1 species
UACGGAGGAUGCGAGCGUUAUCCGGAUUUAUUGGGUUUAAAGGGUGCGUAGGCGGGAUAUUAAGUCAGCGGUGAAAGUUUUCGGCUCAACCUUAAAAUUGCCGUUGAAACUGUUAUUCUUGAGUGCAGUAGAGGUAGGCGGAAUUCGUUGUGUAGCGGUGAAAUGCGUAGAUAUAACGAGGAACUCCGAUUGCGUAGGCAGCUUACUAUAUUGCUACUGACGCUGAGGCACGAAAGUGUGGGUAUCAAACAGGAUUAGAUACCCUGGUAGUCCACACAGUAAACGAUGAAUACUAGCUGUUUGCGAUAUAUUGUAAGCGGCCGAGCGAAAGCAUUAAGUAUUCCACCUGGGGAGUACGUCGGCAACGAUGAAACUCAAAGGAAUUGACGGGGGCCCGCACAAGCGGAGGAACAUGUGGUUUAAUUCGAUGAUACGCGAGGAACCUUACCCGGGCUUGAAAUGCAGAUGAUCGAAGUGGAGACACUUUUUCCAGCGAUGGCGUCUGUGUAGGUGCUGCAUGGUU